UUCAAUUUGGCAGAAAAAUGUAAUAAAUUUAGAAUUUAUUUAUGAUAAGAAAAUCAAUUGAAA
rnacentral:tRNA from 1 species